rnacentral:rRNA from 1 species
UACGUAGGGUGCAAGCGUUAAUCGGAAUUACUGGGCGUAAAGCGUGCGCAGGCGGUUAUGCAAGACAGUGGUGAAAUCCCCGGGCUCAACCUGGGAACUGCCUUUGUGACUGCAUGGCUAGAGUACGGUAGAGGGGGAUGGAAUUCCGCGUGUAGCAGUGAAAUGCGUAGAUAUGCGGAGGAACACCGAUGGCGAAGGCAAUCCCCUGGACCUGUACUGACGCUCAUGCACGAAAGCGUGGGGAGCAAACAGG